rnacentral:rRNA from 1 species
CGGUCUUGUAUUGGCCGUNGAGGGGUGUUGCGUUUCGGUGGAUCCGUACCGCUCGAGUUGCUGACCGCCUAAGUCAUUGCUUGAAUGCAGCCCCGAGGAGGGUGGUAGGCCCGUGUGGCGGCGCCUGUAAAAAGGUUGGAGGCAANUUGGGCGGAGGGGUCUNUACCGUAGAGUCGGGUUGCUUAGUACUGCAGCCCUAAGUAGGUGGUAAACUCCAUCUAAGGCUAAAUAUNACCACGAGUCCGAUAUUUGACAAGUACCGUGAGGGAAAGCUGAAAAGGACUCUGAAGAGAGAGUUCAAGAGGACGUGAAACCAUUAGAAGCUGAAACGGGUGGAACCGUGAAGGAUGAAAGAGGGGAUUCAGGUUGUGGGCGCGCUNNUCNGNGCNNGUUUGNNUGNUGAGAGAGGACCCUUNAUUAGAUUNAGAUUACUGGCNCCUUGCCNGNCAUNACUNUNGCCGGCGGUCUUAGUUCUCCCUCGAGUAAUGAUNGUGGCGAGCCGCUGGACGGACCCCUNUNGCCCUUCNGGACUGGUAANCUNCACCCUCGGUCCUAGUUGAUGACC